UACGUAGGGGGCAAGCGUUGUCCGGAUUUAUUGGGCGUAAAGAGCGCGUAGGCGGCUUUGUAAGUUAGAGGUGAAAGCCCGGGGCUCACCCCCGGAAGUGCGCUGGAAACUGGUUGGCUAGAGUACGGGAGAGGGAAGCGGAAUUCCUGGUGUAGCGGUGAAAUGCGUAGAUAUCAGGAGGAACACCGGCGGCGAAGGCGGCUUCCUGGACCGAUACUGACGCUGAGACGCGAAAGCGUGGGGAGCAAACGGG
rnacentral:rRNA from 1 species